rnacentral:rRNA from 1 species
UGAACGCUGGCGGCAUGCUUUACACAUGCAAGUCGAACGGCAGCACGGGUGCUUGCACCUGGUGGCGAGUGGCGAACGGGUGAGUAACGCAUCGGAACGUACCGAGUAGUGGGGGAUAACUGUCCGAAAGGAUGGCUAAUACCGCAUACGCUUUGAGAAGGAAAGCGGGGGAUCUUCGGACCUCGCGCUAUUCGAGCGGCCGAUGUCUGAUUAGCUAGUUGGUGGGGUAAAGGCCUACCAAGGCGACGAUCAGUAGCGGGUCUGAGAGGAUGAUCCGCCACACUGGGACUGAGACACGGCCCAGACUCCUACGGGAGGCAGCAGUGGGGAAUUUUGGACAAUGGGGGCAACCCUGAUCCAGCCAUGCCGCGUGUCUGAAGAAGGCCUUCGGGUUGUAAAGGACUUUUGUCAGGGAAGAAAAGCUUCGGGUUAAUACCCCGGGGUGAUGACGGUACCUGAAGAAUAAGCACCGGCUAACUACGUGCCAGCAGCCGCGGUAAUACGUAGGGUGCGAGCGUUAAUCGGAAUUACUGGGCGUAAAGCGAGCGCAGACGGUUACUUAAGCAGGAUGUGAAAUCCCCGGGCUUAACCUGGGAACUGCGUUCUGAACUGGGUGACUAGAGUAUGUCAGAGGGGGGUAGAAUUCCACGUGUAGCAGUGAAAUGCGUAGAGAUGUGGAGGAAUACCGAUGGCGAAGGCAGCCCCCUGGGAUAAUACUGACGUUCAUGCUCGAAAGCGUGGGUAGCAAACAGGAUUAGAUACCCUGGUAGUCCACGCCCUAAACGAUGUCAAUUAGCUGUUGGGGUGCUUGACACCUUAGUAGCGUAGCUAACGCGUGAAAUUGACCGCCUGGGGAGUACGGU